AGGCGAAGCUAGAAACCAAAGCUCUCAAAGCCAAACGGCCUGGCUUUACGGAUGAUCGUUACAACGAAACGUCUUACUACAUUGAGAACGCUCUGCGUAAAGUUUACCCGUAUUAUUUUACCUUCACAACCUUCACGAAGGGAAGAUGGGUGGGGGAACGAAUAUUGGACGUAUUCGCAAGAGAAUUCCGAGCACAUCCCGCAGAGGAGUACGAGAGAUGUAUACGAGCGGGAACCUUAACCGUAAACUACGAAAAGGUCCCUACCGACUACAAGCUGAAGCACAACGAUUUGCUCGCUAAUGUCGUCCACAGACAUGAAGUGCCAGUUACUUGCCACCCGAUCACCAUUGUACAUCUGGACGAGGACGUUGUGGUGGUCAACAAACCUGCCUCUAUCCCCGUAAGUGGCUCUGAGACUGCCAUUAUUUUCCACUCGCACUAUUUAUAGGUGAUAGAUAGUGUGCUUGCGCAGACGCUUUGCUUGUGGUGUUCUAUGCUAUUACUAACUUUUCUUUUAUUUGCAGCGGUGUAGGUGUCUUAAAACGUAACAAUGAAAGAUUUUAUACUUACUGUACAAGAUGCAUUCAGGUAAUUAGUCUGAAAGCUUUGCA